AUACGGAGGAUCCGAGCGUUAUCCGGAUUUAUUGGGUUUAAAAGGUGCGCAGGCGGCCAUUUAAGUCAGCGGUUAAAUCGUGGGGCUCAACCCCAUUCUGCCGUUGAUACUGGGUGGCUUGAUUGCGGUCGAGGUUGGCGGAAUUCGUUGUGUAGCGGUGAAAUGCAUAGAUAUGACGAAGAACACCGAUUGCGUAGGCAGCUGACCAGACCGCAAAUGACGCUCAUGCACGAAAGUGCGGGGAUCGAACAGGAUUAGAUACCCUGGUAGUCCGCACAGUAAACGAUGAAUACUUGUUUUCGGCGAUAUAAUGUCGGAGGCAAAGCGAAAGCGAUAAGUAUUCCACCUGGGGAGUACGCCGGCAACGGUGAAACUCAAAUGAAUUGACGGGG
rnacentral:rRNA from 1 species